GAUUUGAUCCGAAGAUAUCCGAAUGGGGCAACCCACUAUAUUGAAGAUAUAGUAUCCGAAAGGAAGCAAACCCGGAGAACUGAAACAUCUAAGUACCCGGAGGAGAAGAAAACAAAAGUGAUUCCGAUAGUAGCGGCGAGCGAAAUUGGAUUAGCCCAAACCAGUGUUGUUACGGCAAUACUGGGGUUGUAGGACCACGAUAUUA
rnacentral:rRNA from 8 species